rnacentral:sRNA from 1 species
GAGACUUAUGUUUAUAGUACUUGGUGCUAUAAUGUUUGUGGUAAACCUUAUAGAACUAUCUUUAAGAUGCAUUUUUAAAAUGAGAUUUAUGUAACUUAGUAAUUAUCUAACUUGAUCUCAUUAUUUUGCAGACCUGUCAUUUACUCCAUCCUUUAUAGUGAUGCUACAGGACGAAGAGGAAUGGAUAAAAACAUUGGCGAGCAACUCAAUAAAGCAUAUGAAGCCUUCCGGCAGGCAUGCAUGGAUAGAGAUUCUGCAGUAAAAGAAUUACAGCAAAAGACUGAGAACUAUGAGCAGAGAAUACGUGAACAACAGGAACAGCUGUCACUUCAACAAACUAUUAUUGACAAGCUAAAAUCUCAGUUACUUCUUGUGAAUUCCACUCAAGAUAACAGUUAUGGCUGUGUUCCUCUGCUUGAAGACAGUGAAACAAGAAAGAAUAAUUUGACUGUUGAUCAGCCACAUGAUAAAGUGAUUUCAGGAAUAGCAAGAGAAAAACUACCAAAGGUAAGAAGACAAGAGGUUUCUUCUCCUAGAAAAGAAACUUCAGCAAGGAGUCUUGGCAGUCCUUUGCUCCAUGAAAGGGGUAAUAUAGAGAAGACUUUCUGGGAUCUGAAAGAAGAAUUUCAUAGAAUAUGCAUGCUAGCAAAAGCACAGAAAGACCACUUAAGCAAACUUAAUAUACCAGACACAGCAACUGAAACACAGUGCUCUGUGCCUAUACAGUGUACGGAUAAAACAGAUAAACAAGAAGCGCUGUUUAAGCCUCAGGCUAAAGAUGAUAUAAAUAGAGGUGCACCAUCCAUCACAUCUGUCACACCAAGAGGACUGUGCAGAGAUGAAGAAGACACCUCUUUUGAAUCACUUUCUAAAUUCAAUGUCAAGUUUCCACCUAUGGACAAUGA